rnacentral:rRNA from 1 species
AUUGAACGCUGGCGGCAUGCCUUACACAUGCAAGUCGAACGGCAGCACGGGAGCAAUCCUGGUGGCGAGUGGCGAACGGGUGAGUAAUAUAUCGGAACGUGCCCAGUCGUGGGGAUAACGUAGCGAAAGCUACGCUAAUACCGCAUACGAUCUAUGGAUGAAAGCGGGGGAUCGCAAGACCUCGCGCGAUUGGAGCGGCCGAUAUCAGAUUAGGUAGUUGGUGNGGUAAAGGCUCACCCAAGCCGACCGAUCUGUAGCUGGUCUGAGAGGACGACCAGCCACACUGGGACUGAGACACGGCCCAGACUCCUACGGAGGCAGCAGUGGGGAAUUUUGGACAUAAAGGGCGCAAGCCUGAUCCAGCAAUAGCCGCGUGC